UACAGAGGGUGCAAGCGUUAUCCGGAUUUACUGGGUUUAAAGGGUGCGUAGGCGGGUUGAUAAGUCAGUGGUGAAACCUCCGAGCUUAACUCGGAAACUGCCAUUGAUACUAUCAGUCUUGAAUUCAGUUGAGGUGGGCGGAAUGUGUCGUGUAGCGGUGAAAUGCUUAGAUAUGACACAGAACACCAAUUGCGAAGGCAGCUCGCUAAACUGACAUUGACGCUGAGGCACGAAAGCGUGGGGAGCAAACAGG
rnacentral:rRNA from 1 species